AGCAGGCGCGUAAAUUGCCCGAAUCCUGACACAGGGAGGUAGUGACAAGAAAUAACGAUACAGGGCUACAUCUAGUCUUGUAAUUGGAUGAGUACAAUUUACAUCUCUUAACGAUGAUCAAUUGGAGGGCAAGUCUGGUGCCAGCAGCCGCGGUAAUUCCAGCUCCAAUAGCGUAUAUUAAAGUUGUUGCAGUUAGAACGCUCGUAGUCGGAUUUCGGGGCGUUCCGACCGGUCUGCCGAUGGGUAUGCACUGGCCGAAGUGUCCUUUUUGCCGGGGACCGUGCCUACCCUUAACUGAGCGGGGGCGGGAGACAGCACUUUUACUUUAAAAAAAUCAGAGUGUUUCAAGCAGGCAGCUCGCUCUUGCAUGGAUUAGCAUGGGAUAAUGAAAUAGGACUUUGGUGCUAUUUUGUUGGUUUCGAACACCGAAGUAAUGAUGAGAAGGGACAGUCAGGGGCACUCGUAUUCCGCCGAGAGAGGUGAAAUUCUCAGACCAGCGGAAGACGAACCACUGCGAAAGCAUUUGCCAGGGAUGUUUACACUGAUCAAGAACGAAAGUUAGGGGAUCGAAGACGGUCAGAUACCGUCGUAGUCUUAACCAUAAACCAUGCCGACUAGGGAUUGGGGGAUGUUCACUUAUUGACUCCCUCAGCACCUUACGGGAAACUAAAGUCUUUGGGUUCCGGGGGGAGUAUGGUCGCAAGGCUGAAACUUAAAGGAAUUGACGGAAGGGCACCACCAGGAGUGGAGCCUGCGGCUUAAUUUGACUCAACACGGGGAAACUUACCAGGUUCAGACAUUGUUAGGAUUGACAGAUUGAGAGCUCUUUCUUGAUUCGAUGGGUGGUGGUGCAUGGCCGUUCUUAGUUGGUGGAGUGAUUUGUCUGGUUAAUUCCGUUAACGAACGAGACCUUAACCUGCUAAAUAGUCGCUGUUUAUACCUAAGCAGUAGAUCUUCUUAGAGGGACUUUGCGUUUUAAGCGUAAGGAAGUUUGAGGCAAUAACAGGUCUGUGAUGCCCUUAGAUGUCCUGGGCCGCACGCGUGCUACACUGACAGGUGCAACAAGUCCGGUGCUCCGAAAGGUCGUGCCAAAUCUAUAUAAUGCCUGUCGUGCUAGGGAUUGAUCUUUGUAAUUGUGGAUCAUGAACGAGGAAUUCCUUGUAAGCAUAUGUCAUCAGCGUGCGUUGA
rnacentral:rRNA from 1 species